rnacentral:rRNA from 1 species
AGAGUUUGAUCCUGGCUCAGAACUAACGCUGGCGGCGUGCCUAACACAUGCAAGUCGUACGAGGAAGUUGGCUUCGGCCGAUGAGUAAAGUGGCGCACGGGUGAGUAACGCGUGGAUAAUCUACCCCUCAGUUGGGAAUAACUCAUCAAAAGGUGGGCUAAUACCGAAUAAUACUGCAUGACUUCUGUUGUGUAGUCAAAGAUGGCCUCUGCUUGCAAGCUAUCGCUGAAGGAUGAGUCCGCGUACCAUUAGCUAGUUGGUAGGGUAAUGGCCUACCAAGGCAACGAUGGUUAGCUGGUCUGAGAGGAUGAUCAGCCACACUGGAACUGAGACACGGUCCAGACUCCUACGGGAGGCAGCAGUGAGGAAUAUUGCGCAAUGGGGGCAACCCUGACGCAGCAACGCCGCGUGAGUGAGGAAGGUUUUCGGACCGUAAAGCUCUGUCGAGCGGGAAGAAAUGCAUAGUGGCUAAUAUCCAUUAUGCUUGACGGUACCGCUAAAGGAAGCACCGGCUAACUCCGUGCCAGCAGCCGCGGUAAUACGGGGGGUGCUAGCGUUGUUCGGAAUCAUUGGGCGUAAAGAGCGUGUAGGCGGCUGGAUAAGUCAGAUGUGAAAGCCCUGGGCUUAACCCAGGAAGUGCAUUUGAAACUGUUCAGCUUGAGUAAGGGAGAGGAAAGUGGAAUUCCUGGUGUAGAGGUGAAAUUCGUAGAUAUCAGGAGGAACACCGGUGGCGAAGGCGACUUUCUGGCCCUAUACUGACGCUGAGACGCGAGAGCGUGGGUAGCAAACAGGAUUAGAUACCCUGGUAGUCCACGCUGUAAACGAUGUUCACUAGGUGUUGGGGGUAUUGACCCUCUCAGUGCCGCAGCUAACGCAUUAAGUGAACCGCCUGGAGAGUACGGUCGCAAGAUUAAAACUCAAAGGAAUUGACGG